AGUGAACGCUGGCGGUAGGCCUAACACAUGCAAGUCGAACGGCAGCACAGGAGAGCUUGCCCUCUGGGUGGCGAGUGGCGGACGGGUGAGGAAUACAUCGGAAUCUACUCUGUCGUGGGGGAUAACGUAGGGAAACUUACGCUAAUACCGCAUACGACCUACGGAUGAAAGCAGGGGAUCUUCGGACCUUGCGCUAUUGAAUGAGCCGAUGUCGGAUUAGCUAGUUGGCGGGGUAAAGGCCCACCAAGGCGACGAUCCGUAGCUGGUCUGAGAGGAUGAUCAGCCACACUGGAACUGAGACACGGUCCAGACUCCUACGGGAGGCAGCAGUGGGAAAUAUUGGACAAUGGGCGCAAGCCUGAUCCAGCCAUACCGCGUGGGUGAAGAAGGCCUUCGGGUUGUAAAGCCCUUUUGUUGGGAAAGAAAUCCAGCUGGCUAAUACCCGGUUGGGAUGACGGUACCCAAAGAAUAAGCACCGGCUAACUUCGUGCCAGCCGCCGCCGUAA
rnacentral:rRNA from 1 species